GCAUCGAUGGUCCAACGGUAGGAUAUUUGCCUUCCAAGCAAAUGGCCCGGGUUCGACUCCCGGUCGAUGCA